rnacentral:rRNA from 1 species
AUGGCGGAGGCGUCGGGCGACGGGGGCAUGGAAGACAAGAUCAGCGCCCUCCCGGAUGAGCUCCUCAUCCAUGUUCUCUCCCACCUGCGCUCACGCGAAGCUGUGCACACAUGCGUGCUGGCACGGCGCUGGCGAGACCUCUGGCAGUGGGUGCCCUGCAUCGACGUGUCUUUCAAGGAAUUCGCAGACAUGCCGUAUGAAGAUGAUGAUGAAGACGACUUUGAGUUCAAGAAGUUCGUCAACCGUUUGCUGAUGCUCCGUAGACCCGUUGACCUGGAGGCGUUCCGGCUCGAGUACAGGUUGCCCACCGACGGCGACUACGCUGAAGAUGACUCCGCCGGUGCUAACCUAUGGAUCGCCCAUGUGUUACAGUACAAGGCUCAGGCUGUCAAGGUUGUCACUCAGAACGAAUAUUUGCAGCUCGCACCUUCGGUAUUCACUUCAGCGUACCUGAAAAGACUGCACAUCUGCAAUGCUAAUCUGAUCCAAGGUUUCUUUAAGCACCUCCAAAUGGGCUGCCCAGUAUUGGAGUAUCUAUUGCUAUCGAACACCAACAUUCAGGACCUUGAUAUUUUCUCCAAUACACUGAAGGCUUUGACCCUCGCUGAUGAUGUUAUGUUCUCAUUUAACAAUGGUGACCAGGCUUCUAUUUCUGCUCCAAACCUCACUUCUCUGUCCUUCGAAUGGUGUCCUUCCGCGGCCAGGCUACCUGUACUAAAGAACAUGACAUCUCUAGAGACGGCGUCAGUAGUACUUUUAUGGGGGACAAUCAGAUAUUGUGAUGCGGAUGGUAUCAAGCAGUUUCUUGGAGGCCUCUCUCAUGUUAGAAGUUUGAACUUCUGUUAUGGCGUUAAAAAGGUGGAGAUGAAAGAUAACUACAGAUGGUGCCCAACAUUUGGUAAUCUUAUAAACCUGACUCUUCAUAGUUCGUGCGUGCAUGGAGACUUCUAUGCACUGAUAGUCUUCCUACAGAACUCACCUAGUCUAAAGAAGCUAACUCUUGAACUAUACCAGGUAUAUGGUCUUCUCCGUAGCAUCUAUCCUUCAAUGAAUGUUGGUGCAUUUACUGUAAAGAUAAAACUGUUCCUUUUUAUUUGCCAGCGUGAAUAUCAAACGCAGGAUAUACCUACAAUCACUGGCGAGCUUGAGGAUAGAUCAUUUACAUGUGAGCAGCUUGAGAUUGUUGAAAUCAUAUGCUCGGAGGGAAAUGAGCUGCUACCUUGGGUGAAUCAGUUCUUGCUUGAUAGUGGCAUAAGGCCUGAUCAGAUGCGUGUCAUUUACGAGGACUAA